rnacentral:sRNA from 1 species
CUUCAUCUAUUUGUUGUGGACAAAUAAAAUGUAUAUGGGCGUCGAUACCGCCUGCGGUCAGUAUUUGUCCUUCGCCGGCUAUAACCUCGGUGCCGGGACCCACUUCAAUAUCGAUAUUGUCUUGAAUAUCAGGAUUGCCUGCUUUACCUAUAAUAGCGAUACGACCUUCUUUAAUACCAACAUCAGCUUUAAUAAUUCCCCAGUGAUCAAGAAUAACGGCGUUGGUAAUCACUAAAUCAACGGUUUCAAAGCAUGAUGCUUGGCUUUGUCCCAUGCCAUCUCUAAUG